ACCCCGCUCUCCGCCCCCGCCCCCCAAUGUUGUAAUAUUGCAGUUUUGUCGGGCAAUUUUAACAAUUUUAACGACACGCUCGUCGGGCAGAUUCAGCCAAAAAUUUUACAUAAUUUUUUGAAAAGUAAUAGUUGUUGGAAAAAAUUUGAUAAAUUUACACAAAUAUUACUGAAAAAUUGUACAAAUUACGGUACAUUAGUUCGAAAGUCAGUGAAAAAUGGUAUGUCAGAAAAUUCUCCCCAGCCCGCUCGCCAACAAUUUUGGGAAAAUAAAUAUUAAUUAGCGACUGAAAUGACCGUCGGGCACGACUUGGACCACGCCCUUUUGGUAGGGCAAAACAAGCUCCCCACCCCCUCCCAGCCGUAAUAGAGAAUUUGAGCAAGACAACGAAGUUGGACGACGACGACGUGGUUGACAAUUUUUGCCUGUCUUUCACAUUACCUUGCGCAUUCUGAGUUUAGGGUCAGGAGUGGAGACAGAUUAGAGAUUCAUGUCUAGCUGUUUGUGAAUGCUGACCCAAAUACUUACCCUGAUCAGGAUAAAACAGCGAGACAUGAAUCCAUAUUCCGUCUUCGUCUUCUGCCUUUGUUCACAACGAAUAUUUUGGCAAAAUUCGUUGCAUGUGAACU